GCUUGUCUCAAAGAUUAAGCCAUGCAUGUCUAAGUAUAAGCCUUUAUAUGGUGAGACUGCGAAUGGCUCAUUAAAUCAGAAACUGUUUAUUUGAUAGUGCCUACUACAUGGAUACCUGUAGUAAUUCUAGAGCUAAUACGUGCGUAAAUCCCGACUUCUGGAAGGGACGUAUUUAUUAGAUAAAAGGCCGACCGGGCUCUGCCCGACUCGCGGUGAAUCAUGAUAACUUCACGAAUCGCACGGCCUCGUGCCGGCGAUGUUUCAUUCAAAUUUCUGCCCUAUCAACUUUUGAUGGUAGGAUAGAGGCCUACCAUGGUGGUAACGGGUGACGGAGGAUUAGGGUUCGAUUCCGGAGAGGGAGCCUGAGAAACGGCUACCACAUCCAAGGAAGGCAGCAGG
rnacentral:rRNA from 1 species